CUAUUCAAAUACAAACUACGUAUUAACCCCUUACAAUAUUUGGCCAACCACACCUACAGAUCAUAGUAAGCUUAUAAGAAAUCAAUAAGCAACUCAUUAACAAAUUUUUGUCAAUGUUUACCACAUAAUCAUAAUUUCACUACAAGCUGUCUUCCUGAGCAACAGUCACUAAAUCAUUUAUAACUGGAGCUACGAAACUCCAAAUCAAGUGUAGUUAAUUUUCCAUGAAAAUAGACUCAUAUAUCUUCUAUCUAUAAAAUUUUCAAAAUUUUUGGUAUGGCCAAUAAAUACCAGAUUUUUCUUAAAGUUUCUCAUGUUUCACUGUUUGACUAAUCUGACCACUCUUCAUUACAAAUCAAAUUUCUCAUUGUACAGAAUUCAAAAUAUGUUUUUGUUUAUUUCAUUUGAAACUAGACUCAUUAAGAUUUAAUUAAAUAAUUUAUUUCGCUUCUAAUUCAUCUCCCACAAUUUAUGCUGAUUUUCCAAAGUCACGUUACUGCUGCUGUCCCAAGCAGAUUUAUUAUCAAAUCACUCUUUCAUACACCUAUCUUGCAUGCAUGUUAUUUAAACAUGUAUAUCACCAAUCAAUCAUCACAUAUCUAUGAUUUUUACUUAAGCAUAAUCUCCAUUUCAUCAUUUUAAAGCACAACAUGUUAGCCGAUUUUUCCCUUUAGCAUCUAAAGCACAUACAUGAUCAUUUGUUUGGCUCAACUUCACCUAUCUUCCAUUUUUCAUCAAAAGAACAUGAAACAACAACCAUUUCCUUCAUUUAAAUUCAUGACCAAAUACUCACAACACAACCAAAAACCAAAAUAUGCUUCAAGAGUUAAGUUAAAAUCAAGAGCUCAUGAACAUCAAAAUAGAAGCAACUACCAUGAACUUACCUUGGAUUUUUUUUUCUUCCCCAAGUGACCGAAUAUUCAAGAGCUCUUUUCCUCUCCUUUCUCUUCUAUUUUCGGCUAUCAUCAACAAGGAUGAACAAAAACCUUCCUUUACUUCCUUUUUGUUAUUCUAUUACUAAACAUUUUAUGACACAAAAUAACAUAUAUUAUUUGUGCCAUACCUAUGCCAUAACUCCAAUAAAAAUAUGCCCAUAAUGCUUAUUAUGCCCAUCAUGGAACCUUUUCCUAACCCAUUAUAAAUUUUUAUCAAUUUGUACCAUAAUUAUUAAUAUCAAGUGCACAUAUUGUCUACCACCAACAUGAUGGCCAGCCACUUCAUGUAAAAUGAGAGAUUUGUCAUGCAAAUCCUCCUUAUUUUGCACUCCUAUUUGUUUGGCCACUUCAAUUUAGCAUAUAGCAUUUUUAAAUAUUUUCACAUAAGUCCUAUUUCAUAAUUUCACCCCUUUUUUCUUAUGAAACAAAAAUUAACUAAAAUUGUCGGGUUUUAUCUUAAGCUUGGGCCUUCUAGAGGCCCACUAACAUAAUUAAACCUAUGCCAACAUUCACAGAAUUCCCGAAAAUUGGGGCGUUUCAACUCUACCCCCUUAAAGAAAUUUCAGCCUCAAAAUUUACCUGAUCCAAAUAGUUGAGGGUAUUGUUGACGCAUAGUCUCUUUUGAUUCCCAAGUAGCUUCUUCCCUUCCAUGAUUACGCCACAGUACUUUUACCAACGGAACCGACUUCCUUCUUAGAACUUUAACCUCUCGAUCUAAAAUUUGUAUGGGUUCUUCCUCAAAGGUCAAAUCAGUCCUUACUUCAAUCUCAUCCACUGGCAUAACAUGUGAGGGAUCCGAUCGAUAUCGUCUUAAUAUAGACACAUGAAAAACAUCAUGGAUUCUGUCUAACUUUGGUGGUAAGUCUAACUGAUACGCUACUGGCCCUACCCGCUUAAGAACUCGAUAAGGCCCUAUAAACCGCGGACUCAAUUUGCCUUUCUUGCCGAAUCUCAAGAUCUUCUUCAAAUGUGAAACUUUUAAGAAAACCAUAUCCCUAACCGCGAACUCUCUCUUUGCGCUUUAGGUCCGUAUACGACUUCUGUCUAUUAGAUUCCUCCUUUAAUCGAUCUCUUAUCAACUUAACCUUACUUUCAGUAUCUGCCACCAACUCCGGUCCAAGCACUUAUCGUUCACCCAACUUUGUCCAACACGUAGACGUACGACAUCUCCGCCCAUAAAGUGCCUCAUAUGGAGCCAUCUGAAUACUUGCUUGGUAGCUGUUAUUGUAUGCAAACUCCGCCAAUGGCAAGUAGUCCUCCCAACUCCCAUGAAAAUCGAUGAUACAACCCCUUAACAUAUCCUCCAAAAUUUGAAUAACCCUCUCCGACUGUCCAUCUAUCUGUGGGUGAAAGGCAAUACUGAAAUCCAAACGUGCACCCAAUACCUCCUGCAACUUCUUCCAGAACCGAGAUGUAAACCUAAGGUCUCGAUCGAAAAUAAUCGACAUUGGCACUCCAUGUAAUCGCACUAUCUUUGCCACAUACAACCUAGCCAACUUUUGCAUGGAGUAAUCAGUACGAGCUGGUAUGAAAUGGGCAGAUUUUGUUAACCUAUCCACCACUACCCACACAGAAUCUUUCUUGGUGGGUGUCAAAAGUAGCCCACUCACAAAGUCCAUAAUGACUCUCUCCCACUUCCACAAUGGAAUUUUCACUAGUUGCAGUAAUCCAAAAGGAAAUUGAUGUUCAGCUUUCACUUACUGGCAUGUCAUACAUUUCCCCACGAACUCCGUUACUUCUCAUUUAAGCCCAGGCCACCAGUACUGUUCUCGCAAGUUGUGAUACAACUUAUUCCCUCCAGGAUGCAUGGCACAAAGUCCUCCAUGAGCUUCCUUCAAUAUUGAUUGUCUUAAGUUAGAAUCCUUCGGAACACAAAUUCUUACUCGGAAGCAUAAAACUCCUUCAGUAUUUAGUCCAAAAUCCUCAUUCUUACCCUUCUCAACUUGCUGAAACCGAAGGACCAACGAGUUAUCCUUCAACUAUUUUUCUUUAAUCUGCUCAGUCCAAAUAGACCUCACUUGCAAUUCUGCUAAUAGACUUCCAUCAUCAAACAGACUCAAACGUGCAAUCAAGGCUCUCAAAUCAGAAACAAUCCUUCGACUCAACGCAUCAGCCACCACGUUAGCCUUACCUGGGUGGUACUCAAUCGAACAGCUGUAAUCCUUAAGCAACUCUACCCAUCUUCGUUGCCUAAGGUUUAACUCCUUCUGAGUUAACAGAUACUUUAGGCUCUUAUGGUCCGUGUAUAUGAUACACUUUUCUCCAUAUAAGUAAUGUCUCUAGAUUUUCAACGCAAAGAUCACUGCUGCUAGCUCUAAGUCGUGCGUAGGGUAGUUCGCUUCAUGGGACUUAAGCUGCCGCGAAGCAUAAGCGACCACCUUACCCUCUUGCAUCAGUACACAUCCUAACCCCACAUGUGACGCAUCGCUGUACACAAUGAAGUCCUUCCCAGACUUCGAUUGAAUCAACACUGGUGCUUCAGUCAAUACCUUUUUCAAAUGGUCAAAAGCUUUUUGCUGACUCUCAGUCCAGACAAAUGCUACCCCUUUCCUUAACAGUUUCAUCAAUGGUGCAGCAAUCAGAUAAAAUCCUUCUACGAACCUUCGGUAAUAGCCUGCCAAACCCAAAAAACUCUAAAUUUUCGAUACUAAUUUUGGUGGCUUCCAUCCCAGAACUGCCUCAACUUUUCGAGGAUCCACUUUAAUUCCUUCAGCAGAAACCACAUGACUUAGAAAAGCCACUUCUCGCAACCAAAAUUCACACUUACUAAACUUUGCAUACAGUUCCUUCUCUCUCAGCACUUGCAGCACAAUACAUAGAUACUCCUCAUGUUUCUCCUCGGUUUCCAAGUAUACCAGAAUAUCAUCGAUGAAAACUACCACGAAUCAGUCCAAGUAAGGUUGGAACACUCGAUUCAUCAGAUCCAUGAAAGCGACAGGUGCGUUUGUCAACCCAAACGGCAUAACCAGGAACUCGUAAUGACCAUAUCGAGUCCUGAAUGCUGUCUUAUGAAUAUCCACUUCCUUUACCCUUAACUGAUGGUAUCCAGAUCGAAGGUCAAUCUUGGAAAAUACCGAAGCUCCUCUAAGUUGGUCAAAUAAAUCAUCAAUCCUUGCCAGAGGGUAUUUGUUCUUUAUCGUCAGUUUGUUCAACUGGCGAUAAUCGAUGCACAUGCGCAUUGUCCCAUCUUUUUUCUUCACAAAUAACAUUGAUGCUCCUCAUGGAGACACGCUUGGCCUAAUGAAGCCCCUAUCCAACAACUCUUGAAUUUGAGCCUUUAACUCUACUAACUCCUUCGGUGCCAGCCUAUACGGUGCGAUGGACACAGACGCCAUUCUAGGCAACAAAUCUAUUCCAAACUCAACUUCUCAGUUCGGAGGCAAUCCUGGAAGCUCCUCCAGAAAAAUAUCUUGGAAUUCCUUUACGGUCCUAACCUUAUCCACUGUCAGUCCCUCCUCUUCUAACUGACUUACAAAUGCCAAAUAGGCCUCACAACCUUUCCGAAUCCACUUUUCGGCUCUUAAUGCCGACACCACAUUGGACAAAUAAUCCCUUCACUCACCUAUCACCAUAACCUCCUCAUCCUUUGUAGUCCUUAACACCAUUCGUUUAGCAGCACAAUCCAAAGUCGUCUUAUGGUUAACAAGCCAAUCCAUUCCCAAAAUGAGAUAAAACUCUCCGAACGGUAACUCCAUCAGAUCUCUAAAGAAAAUCUUACCUUUAGUUUCUAAAGGUACAUCUUUAUACAGUUUGUCUACCCUAACCGAAUGACCCAAAGGACUUAGUACAGAUACCCCACUCACAAUCUCCUCAGAGUGCACACCCAACGACCCAGAUAUGGCACAUGCAACAUAGGAAUGAGUAGAUCCAACAUCCACUAAGGCAGUAUACGGCAUGCUAGAAAUCAAAAACAUACCAGUUAUGACGUCAGGUGCGUCACCCUCCUCGCGGCGACGAGCAGCAUAUACCAAAGCUGGCUGACGAGCCUCAGUGUUAACAGUACCCUUGCCAGGUGCCCCACGUCCAUGGCCAUUGCCACCGCGACCUCGACCAUGACCUCUCGACGGCGACGGUCCACCUCGCGCUGUUUGUACGGGCUGCACAACCCUUUGUUCAACCACUUGAGCCUGAGCUAGCCUCUUAGGACAAUCUCUAAUCUUAUGUUCCUUUGAUCCACAACGAAGACAAGCCCCAGAACGUUUCCAACAUUCCCCCAGAUGCAUUUUACCAUAAUCUCCACAAGCUUGUGGUCUAACAGUAUUCACCGAAAUCGCUCGAAUUAGUUCUUCCAUCCUAGCUCUCUUAACAUUCCAGUUUGCAGCACCAGUUGGUCCAGCAUCUCUCCUGAACCGAUUUCGAUCCCUGUCACGGUUCCUUCGUUCAGCUUGCUUCACCUCUUCGGCUAUCUUAGCCUUUUCUACUAGUGCAGUAAAAUCGCGCUCUCUUUGCGGAGCUAUGAGCACCCUUAGCUUAUCUCUAAGGCCAUCCUCAAAGCGAACACUACGCUCGUAUUUGGUAGAGACAAUACCAUUAGCAUACUGGCUCAAUCGCAGAAACUCUGCCUCAUAUUCAACAACGGUCUUACCACCCUGGGUCAGGUUCAGAAAUUCCUUCCUUCGCACCUCCACGUAGCUAGCUCCGACAUACUUCGCCUUGAAGGACUGCUUAAACAACUCCCAAGUUACCCUCUCAACUGAGGUACCCUCUCUCACAGUAAUCCACCACUGAUUCGCCUCGUCCCGUAGUAAGGAUACUGCUCAUUUUAACUUUUGCUCUAUUGAGCAGUCCAAGUCAUCCAUAAUCCGCUCCGUGGCUUCCAGCUAGUACUCAGCCACAUUUGGGGCUACUCCAGAUACACCCCUAAAAACUUCCGCUCCGUUGGCCCGGAGUCGCUCAGAAAUAGACCCCCUAUUCAUGGGCCCGAUAUUAUCUCCGGCCACCAUUUCCAAAACUCUUAACAUGGCCUGGGACAGAGCGUCAUCCCCCAUGGCCCGAUUAUACGGCCCAUUCUCAUCUACCGGUGGUGGUCGUACUACUCUAGUGGGUAUGUGUUUAGAAGACGAAAAUCCAGCUUGAGUACUACCUCGGCCUCGACCACGGCCUCUUCCCUGAGUAGCUCUCGUACUCAUAUCGAUUUAUCUAAUUAUGAACUUUAUGCAUUUAGUUUACUGUUUCCACUGUUUAUUACAAAAUAUCUUAUGAACAGAUAAGGUUUCAGAGUUGUUCUCGCGUAACCACAGUUUAGCUACUGUUUCAGUUUCCUAGGGCUUAGUUUACCCUACAGUCUCAGUUUUGUAGCCUUUACGCUAUAUUAUCUAUAGUACUAUCUCUAAAAUUUAGUACUAACUACAGUACAGUUCAGUAUAUAAAACAGAAUAGUACUUACAGCCUUGGUGCCGGGGAUUCAGUGUGCCACCUCAUCAGUUUUCAGAUAAACUCAAAAUUUAGGCUUUUUGAAAUCCAUUUUCCAAACAUUUGUGUUAAAAAAAACAAGUUCAGAGAUUAUCUCCUUUAAACAAGAAAUUUUCAAAAGUCAAGUUUUUCCAAAAAUACCCUCUCUUUUUUGGCAUAAAAUUUUGAAAACCCUUUUUGGACCUGAUCCACAGUAGAGUUAUUGCAACUGGGCUCUGAUACCACUAAAUGUAGCACCCCAAACCCGACCCAGACGUUAAGGCCGAAUUCGACGUGCUACUUUGAAGUCAAAAAUUCGUGUUCCCUUUUUAGUGUUUUCAAAAGCUGACUUUUGUCAAACAAACCAAGUGAAUAGAAACUGGGCACCAGAUAGGUAUCCAUAACAGAAGAGGUGAGCCAUGAAGGCUGCGUAAGUACUAAGCUCUCCGAUUGGAUCCAAUCCUAGACAUGCCCACAUCCAUUGCCACACUUGGUUAUAAUAAGUUGAAAUUUCUUUGAGUGAUUAUCUUUGGUAAAUCGAAUAUUCGUGACGUCGUGUUAUUUUAAAAAAAAACAAGUAUCGUUUUGAAAUCACGCCCUAAGUUUAGCCCAUUUGAAUUAGGAUCCAUCAAUUUAAAGUUGUUUUUAAUAAUAUAACCCCAGAAAAAUCAAAAAAGAAAAUAAAGUUAAAAUGGCCUUAUUACAACCCAAAAAUUAAAUAGUAAUUAAAAAUAACUUAAGAAAACCAGUCUCUUUUUUCAAAUCCAAAAGUAUUCACCAUGUCCACUCUGAAUCCCCUCCAGCUCCAAGUCACCCACAUCAAGGCUCACCUGCAAGGUUAAAGAAGAGGUGAGUUUGGGCAAACUCAGUGUGUAAGGAAAACCCAUUCAAAGCCCAAGUCAGCUCAAGCCCAUUGGGCCUAAGCCCAUUCAGGUUACAGUGAUACUGGGCCAGAGCCCUUUUCAGAUUACAAUAAACUGAGCCUUAGCCCCUUAUUCAGAUAACCGUAUGGCCCAUAGGCCCAUUUCAAAAUACAUGCAACAUCAGUAAAUAUAUACAAGCCCAUUUGAGGAGACUACUCAACCCACCAACCACUACACUCCACCCGUACCAGCCAUACACUCCAUGUGGGGAAUAGAUCAACCCACCCAGCCCAACACUCCACAGUUGCAGCCUUGCUGCUCAGUUAACAGUAAAUUGAGACAGUCUCCAGUACGUGGACAAGCCACUUUCAGUACUUCCUCCAUCAAUAUCCUAAUCCCAUGCAUCAUAUAAUAAUAUUGCAUGCAGUAAAUAACAACAGUCAAACAUGAAUUUAGGUCAAUUUAACCCUAGGGGUAUUUCGAUAAUUUAUCUUCUAGGGCUAAAACUAUAAAUUUUUAAAGGUAUUUCAGUAAUUUAUCUAUUUUAGGGUUUUUCAUACAUAUUCCUACCUUUCACGUACUAACAGAAUCACUACCGAAGGUUCUUACCGAAUUGGGCCCAUUGGCCCAUCAUUCCAAUUUUGGCCCAUUAAGCCCAAAAAUAUCAAGGGCACAAAAAUCAUGCACUUUGCAGUCCAAACAUUGCAGUUUACCAAAAACAUUAAUCGAUUUACCUCACAAGCAUUCGCACACUUGCAAAUCUACAAAAUAUCGAUUUUCGGCAUUUCGACAUUUCAGCUUUUCGACUUUUGCCGAUCUAGACUAAGAAAGAGGGUGUUAGUUACACACCUGUUUGCGACGAUAUGCUGACGAGAUCCACACACAAACCGCUUACAAUUGGAUUACUAACACAUUAAUCUAACCAUUCAAAUACAAACUACGUAUUAACCCCUUACAAUAUUCGGCCAACCACACCUACAGAUCAUAGUAAGCUUGUAAGAAAUCAAUAAGCAACUCAUUAACAAAUUUUUGUCAAUGUUUAUCAUAUAAUCAUAAUUUCACUGCAAGUUGUCUUCCUGAACAACAGUCACUAAAUCAUUUAUAACUGGAGCUAUGAAACUUCAAAUCAAGUGCCAUUAAUUUUUCCUGAAAAUAGACUCAUAUAUACUCUAUCUAUAAAAUUUUCAGAAUUUUUGGUAUGGCCAAUCAAUACCAAAUUUUUCUUAAAGUUAAUCUGAUCACUCUUCAUUACAAAUCAAAUUUCUCAUUGUACAGAAUUCAAAAUAUGUUCUCGUUUAUUUCAUUUGAAACUAGACUCAUUAAGCUUUAAUUACAUAAUCUAUUCAGCUUCUAAUUCAUCUCCCAUAAUUUAUGGUGAUUUUCCAAAGUCACGUUACUGCUGCUGUCUCAAACAGAUUUAUUACCAAAUCACUCUUUCAUACACCUAUCUUGCAUGUAUGUUAUUUAAACAUGUAUAUCACCAAUCAAUCAUCACAUAUCUAUGAUUUUUACUUAAACAUAAUCUCCAUUUCAUCAUUUUAAAGCACACGUUAGCCGAUUUUUCCCUUUAGCAUCUAAGGCACAUGCAUGAUCAUUUGUUUGGCUCAACUUCACCUAUCUUCCAUUUUUCAUCAAAAGAACAUGAAACAACAACCAUUUCCUUCAUUUUAAUUCAUGACCAAAUGCUUACAACACAACCAAAAAUCAAAAUAUGCUUCAAGAGUUAAAGGUAGAAUCAAGAAGAACUCAUGAACAUCAAAAUAAAAGCAACUACCAUGAACUUACCUUGAAUUUUUUUUUCUUUUCCAAGUGACCGAAUAUUGAAAAGCUCUUUUCCUCUCCUUUCUCUUCUAUUUUCGGCUAUCAUCAACAAGGAUGAACAAAAACCUUCCUUUACUUCUUUUUUGUUAUUCUAUUACUAAACAUUUUAUGACACAAAAUAACAUAUAUUAUUUGCGCCAUACCUAUGCCAUAACUCCAAUAAAAAUAUGCCCAUAAUGCUUAUCAUGCCUAUCAUGGAACAUUUUCCUAACCCAUUAUCAAUUUUUAUCAAUUUAUACCAUAAAUUAUUAAUAUUAAGUACACAUAUUGUCUACCACCAACAUGAUGGCCGGCCACUUCAUGUAAAAUGAGAGGUUUGUCAUGCAAAUCCUCCUAUUUUGCACUCCUAUUUGUUUGGCCACUUCAAUUUAGCAUAUAGCAUUUUCAAACAUUUUCACAUAAGUCCUAUUUCAUUAUUUCACCCCCUUUUUCUUAUGGAACAAAAAUUAACUAAAAUUAUCGGGUUUUAUCUUAAGUUUGGGCUUUCUAGAGGCCCACUAACAUAAUUAAAC
rnacentral:lncRNA from 1 species